CAUGAGUUUUGCUUGCUCAACACAGUGGGGCAGCCAUAGACUCUCCCUCUCCUACUGAAAAAGAGACAGUGCCGGUUGAUAUAUUAUUGAUUAUAUAUUUUUAAAACAAGCUGAGGAUUGAUUAUGAAAAACGUUUGACAUGUUUCUGUGGACAUUACGGAUACUAUUUGGAAUUUUCAUCUGUGUUGUCAUGACCGCUCGAGCCUGUGGAUUUCUGAAUAUAACGCGCCAAACAAACAGAAGUAUUUUGGAUAUAAAAUAAUCUUUACGGAACUAAAGGAACAUUUAUUGUGUAACUGGGAGUCUCGUGAGUGCAAACAUCUGAAGAUCAUCAAAGAUAAUGGGGCCGGCUAUAGGGUUAGCCCUGACAUCCAUCUGCUUCCAAUUCACUGUCGUCAAGACCGGCUCUCUUGCUCGCUAGAUAUCCCACCCAUUCCAUGUUCUCCAAACGUGAUGAACAAAACGGAGCGAUUUCUCCUACACAAAUAAUCUUUUUGGAAAAACUGAACAUUUGCUAUCUAACUGAGUGUCUCCUCAUUGAAAACAUCUGAAGUUCUUCAAAGGACCUGAGCCCUAGGACCAUGCGUCAGGACUACCUGGCAUGAUGACUCCUUGCUGUCCCCAGUCCACCUGGCCUUGCUGCUGUUCCAGUUUCAACUGUUCUGCCUGUGGCUAUGGAACCCUAAACUGUUCAUAUUUACUCUUGAGGUGCUGUCCUGUUGCAUCCUCUACAACUACUGUGAUUAUUAUUAUUUGACCCUGCUGGUCAUCUAUGAACGUUUGAAAAUCUCAGCCAUGUUCUGUUAUAAUCUCCACCCAGCACAGCCAGAAGAGGACUGGCCACCCCUCAUAGCCUGGUUCCUCUUGAGGUUUCUUCCUAGGUUCAGGCCUCUCUAGGGAGUUUUUCCUAGCCAACGUGCUUCUACACCUGCAUUGCUUGCUGUUUGGAGUUUUAGGCUGGGUUUCUGUACAGCACUUUGAGAUAUUAGCUGAUGUACGAAGGGCUAUAUAAAUAAAUUUGAUUUGUUAGAGGACUGAGGGUCUUCCAAAUAUUGAAAGUGUGUAAAUAGUUACCCA
ensembl:lncRNA